rnacentral:rRNA from 1 species
UACGUAGGGCGCAAGCGUUGUCCGGAAUCAUUGGGCGUAAAGAGCUCGUAGGUGGUCUGUUACGUCUGCUGUGAAAUCCUAGGGCUUAACCCUGGGCCUGCAGUGGAUACGGGCAGACUAGAGGUAGGUAGGGGAGAAUGGAAUUCCUGGUGUAGCGGUGAAAUGCGCAGAUAUCAGGAGGAACACCCGUGGCGAAAGCGGCUCUCUGGGACGGUACUGACGCUGAGACGCGAAAGCGUGGGGAGCAAACAGG